rnacentral:rRNA from 1 species
UGGGGAAUUUUCCGCAAUGGGCGAAAGCCUGACGGAGCAAGACCGCGUGGGGGAAGAAGGCUCUUGGGUUGUAAACCCCUUUUCUCUGGGAAGAACAAAAUGACGGUACCAGAGGAAUCAGCAUCGGCUAACUCCGUGCCAGCAGCCGCGGUAAGACGGAGGAUGCAAGCGUUAUCCGGAAUGAUUGGGCGUAAAGCGUCCGCAGGUGGCAGUUCAAGUCUGCUGUCAAAGACCGGGGCUUAACCUCGGAAAGGCAGUGGAAACUGAACAGCUAGAGUAUGGUAGGGGCAAAGGGAAUUCCUGGGGUAGCGGUGAAAUGCGUAGAGAUCAGGAAGAACAUCGGUGGCGAAGGCGCUUUGCUGGACCAUAACUGACACUCAGGGACGAAAGCUAGGGGAGCGAAUGGGAUUAGAUACCCCAGUAGUC